UACUAGCCCUGAUGGAAGCGUCAUCCUUUUGGGUCGGGGUUCGCCCAAAAGAUAUAGUGCACAGCAGGAAAUAGC
rnacentral:sRNA from 1 species